UGAGGAAUAUUGCGCAAUGGGGGAAACCCUGACGCAGCGACGCCGCGUGGAUGAUGAAGGCCUUCGGGUCGUAAAAUCCUGUCAGAUGGAAAGAAAUGCAUGGAUGUUAAUACCAUUUAUGUUUGACGGUACCAUCAAAGGAAGCACCGGCUAACUCCGUGCCAGCAGCCGCGGUAAUACGGAGGGUGCAAGCGUUGUUCGGAAUUACUGGGCGUAAAGCGCGCGUAGGCGGCUAUUUAAGUCAGAUGUGAAAGUCCACGGCUCAACCGUGGAAGUGCAUUUGAAACUGGAUGGCUUGAGUACUGGAGGGGGUGGUGGAAUUCCCGGUGUAGAGGUGAAAUUCGUAGAUAUCGGGAGGAAUACCGGUGGCGAAGGCGACCACCUGGCCAGAUACUGACGCUGAGGUGCGAAAGCGUGGGGAGCAAACA
rnacentral:rRNA from 1 species